UACGGGGGGAGCAAGCGUUGUUCGGAUUUACUGGGCGUAAAGGGCGCGUAGGCGGUCGUGACAAGUCACUUGUGAAAUCUCCGGGCUUAACUCGGGACGGUCAAGUGAUACUGUCGGACUAGAGUACAGAAGGGGCAACUGGAAUUCUCGGUGUAGCGGUGAAAUGCGUAGAUAUCGAGAGGAACACCUGCGGCGAAGGCGGGUUGCUGGGCUGAUACUGACGCUGAGGCGCGAAAGCCAGGGGAGCGAACGGG
rnacentral:rRNA from 1 species